rnacentral:rRNA from 1 species
GACGAACGCUGGCGGCGUGCUUAACACAUGCAAGUCGAACGGAAAGGCCCUGCUUUUGUGGGGUGCUCGAGUGGCGAACGGGUGAGUAACACGUGAGUAACCUGCCCUUGACUUUGGGAUAACUUCAGGAAACUGGGGCUAAUACCGGAUAGGAGCUCCUGCUGCAUGGGGGGGGUUGGAAAGUUUCGGCGGUUGGGGAUGGACUCGCGGCUUAUCAGCUUGUUGGUGGGGUAGUGGCUUACCAAGGCUUUGACGGGUAGCCGGCCUGAGAGGGUGACCGGCCACAUUGGGACUGAGAUACGGCCCAGACUCCUACGGGAGUCAGCAGUGGGGAAUAUUGCACAAUGGGCGGAAGCCUUAUGCAGCAACGCCGCGCGCGGGAUGACGGCCUUCGGGUUGUAAACCGCUUUCGCCUGUGACGAAGCGUGAGUGAUGGUAAUGGGUAAAGAAGCACCGGCUAACUACGUG